GGAUUAGCAGACUCCAAUGAAACAGGAACAGUUUCUCCAUCCAACCCCAACGAAUUACUGGAUGUGCCCCAAGUAACAGUUCCACGAGAAACUGAGGAUCAAGUUUACUUUGCUUGUCCUAAGCACUGCAAUGCUGAAUGCAGUUUUUCUCAGUUGUUAAGAGAUGAAUUGUUGGAAAAUGUGGAGGAGCUUAAGGUAGCAAUUCGUAGUCUUAAAGAAGAUAUUGAGAAGACACUGGAUAAGCUGGAUUCUAUUUCAUAUUGAGCAAGCUGUUGAUCAAGUUGUUAAUGUUCAUGUUCUAGUCUUAUUUUGCUGUUAAUCUUAUGGUUAUCCUUCUGUUUACUGUUUUAGUAAUGCAUUGAGUUUCGUAUGA